rnacentral:rRNA from 1 species
UCAAUAGCCUCGUAGUGACCUGCGGAGGAUCAUUACCGAGUGCGGGCCCCUCGGGGCCCAACCUCCCACCCGUGUUGCCCGAACCUAUGUUGCCUCGGCGGGCCCCGCGCCCGCCGACGGCCCCCCUGAACGCUGUCUGAAGUUGCAGUCUGAGACCUAUAACGAAAUUAGUUAAAACUUUCAACAACGGAUCUCUUGGUUCCGGCAUCGAUGAAGAACGCAGCGAAAUGCGAUAACUAAUGUGAAUUGCAGAAUUCAGUGAAUCAUCGAGUCUUUGAACGCACAUUGCGCCCUCUGGUAUUCCGGAGGGCAUGCCUGUCCGAGCGUCAUUGCUGCCCUCAAGCCCGGCUUGUGUGUUGGGCCCCGUCCCCCCCGCCGGGGGGACGGGCCCGAAAGGCAGCGGCGGCACCGCGUCCGGUCCUCGAGCGUAUGGGGCUUCGUCACCCGCUCUAGUAGGCCCGGCCGGCGCCAGCCGACCCCCAACCUUUAAUUAUCUCAGGUUGACCUCGGAUCAGGUAGGGAUACCCGCUGAACUUAAGCAUAUCAAUAAGCGGAGGAAUAU